UGCGCAGGCGGUUGUGCAAGACCGAUGUGAAAUCCCCGGGCUUAACCUGGGAACUGCAUUGGUGACUGCACGGCUAGAGUGUGUCAGAGGGGGGUAGAAUUCCACGUGUAGCAGUGAAAUGCGUAGAGAUGUGGAGGAAUACCGAUGGCGAAGGCAGCCCCCUGGGAUAACACUGACGCUCAUGCACGAAAGCGUGGGAGCAAACAGGAUUAGAUACCCUGGUAGUCCACGCCCUAAACGAUGUCAACUAGUUGUCGGGUCUUAAUUGACUUGGUAACGCAGCUAACGCGUGAAGUUGACCGCCUGGGGAGUACGGUCGCAAGAUUAAA
rnacentral:rRNA from 1 species